rnacentral:misc_RNA from 1 species
AAAUAAACAUCUUCCAUCUCCAGGUAUACCAAUUACAGAAUAGUCAGUAUAGACCUUCUUUCCAUGUGAAUAGCCAGUGGUUGAGGAUUCACAGCUAUCUCCCAUACUUCCUCCUGAUGCUUCAGCAUGUACCGGUUCAGAGGCAGAGCAGCAAACUAAAAAUCCAAUAGAUAAACCUGCAGACGUAUGAUUUCGCUUUCCAGAAUUACACCCAAAUUUGCGGAACUUCGAUUGAGUACGUAAGAAAAGCCUCAUAUUCACAUUUUGGGACCAAAAA